AAUACGACUCUCGGCAACGGAUAUCUCGGCUCUCGCCACGAUGAAGAAUGUAGCGAAAUGCGAUACUUAGUGUGAAUUGCAGAAUCCCGUGAAUCAUCGAGUCUUUGAACGCAAGUUGCGCCCGAGGCCUCGGCCGAGGGCACGCCUGCUUGGGCGUCGCAC
rnacentral:rRNA from 8 species